rnacentral:tRNA from 1 species
GGGCUAUAGCUCGGGGAGAGCGCUUGCAUGGCAUGCAAGAGGCCGCGGUUCGAUCCCGCUUUUAGCUCCA